rnacentral:rRNA from 1 species
UGGGGAAUAUUGCACAAUGGGCGCAAGCCUGAUGCAGCCAUGCCGCGUGUAUGAAGAAGGCCUUCGGGUUGUAAAGUACUUUCAGCGGGGAGGAAGGUGUUGAGGUUAAUAACCUCAGCAAUUGACGUUACCCGCAGAAGAAGCACCGGCUAACUCCGUGUCAG